UCCCAGGUAGCUAAAUGGUAAAGAAUCUGCCUGCCAAUGCCAGAGCUGCAGAAUAUUUGGGUUCGAUCCCUUGGUUGGGAA
rnacentral:tRNA from 1 species